UGGGGAAUAUUGGGCAAUGGGCGAAAGCCUGACCCAGCAACGCCGCGUGAGGGAAGAAGGUUUUCGGAUUGUAAACCUCUGUCCUAAGUGACGAAGGAAGUGACGGUAGCUUAGGAGGAAGCCCCGGCUAACUACGUGCCAGCAGCCGCGGUAAUACGUAGGGGGCGAGCGUUGUCCGGAAUGACUGGGCGUAAAGGGCGUGUAGGCGGCUUUUUAAGUCUGGAGUGAAAGUCCUGCUUUCAAGGUGGGAAUUGCUUUGGAUACUGGAGAGCUUGAGUGCGGAAGAGGUAAGUGGAAUUCCCAGUGUAGCGGUGAAAUGCGUAGAGAUUGGGAGGAACACCAGUGGCGAAGGCGACUUACUGGGCCGUAACUGACGCUGAGGCGCGAAAGCGUGGGUAGCAAACAGGAUUAGAUACCC
rnacentral:rRNA from 1 species